CUACCUUGUAUUUUAUUAAUAUAUAACGUCUUAUAGCAGACCAUAAGUUCCUUGAGGAUAAGAGCUCUUUCAAAUCUGUAGUCCUUCGUUACCGCUAUCCCAGUGUCUUGCACAGAGAAGGUUAUCAUUAAAUAUAUAACGAAUCAAGAUUGACAAUAUUGAGAAUGGACAAGUCUUGACAAAAGUCUUUAAUUAAAAAUUUUGUAGUGGUAAACCAGCAACUCCUUCAAAAUCCAGGUCACCGCUCACUUCCUCUAUUUCCUUAAUUGUUAUUUACUUAAUUUUUAUUAUGAUACAACAAUGUAUACCUUGAUGAAAGGAGACGUUUUUAUGUUGUACCUGUUUCUGCGACAUAUUAUCAGCAGAUGCUCUCUCUUCCCAGCUAGUUUCUAAGUUCCUUGAAAGUGGGGACCACACUUUCGAUUUCAUCACACCAUUCAUACCCUAUUCUGCACACAGUAUGGACAAAUAUUGACCAAGUGCUUUCCAUUGAGCAGGUGCUUUCUAAGAACUUCACGUGUGGUUAAUGGUUUAACCCUCAUGGCAGCCCUGUAGGGUAGGUACUAAGCAUAAGUAGUUAGUUCAAGGUCACAGCUAGGAAGUGGCACCACCAGGGUUUGAUCUGAGGCAGUCUUGUUUCAGGCAUGUUGUCUCAACCGCUCUACUUACCACCUCAUAGACAGAAAACAGUAUGGUGGCCUCCUGAAUAGACAGCUUAUUCUAAAACAUUUAUUAAAGGCAAGAUUUUUGAUAAAUGGUUUGUAGUAUAGUCAGGUAGAAGAGAUUUUUCUCCUCCAUUUGUUGUAUUGUUUAUAUUACCAAAACAUCUCCCUUACUACUAUAAUAUGAUUCUGUUGUUCACGGAAAUCUCACCCUCCUAUCAAGUUAUCCACAACACCACAACUUCUUUACAGUUUGGUCAUUUCUGACAUAGGUGUACCUCUCAGAACGCCAAACCCAAAGUCCCUAGCUGCUGCUCUCACAUAGGACAGCAACAUCAGAUGUCCCUGAGGAUGAGUCUCGGCUCUGCUUCUUGCUGACUAUGGGACCUCAGGCAGCAUAGCAGACCAGUGAAAACAUUCAAGGAGUGUUGAAGAAGAUAUUCUGGGACAGGCAGACACCAAGCCAGGGUGGCAAAUGCAAGCUCUUGGAAGGGCCUGAGUAGGCGAUGAAAAUGAAAGAAAUGGUGUCUUCACAACAGUGGAUUAGAUUGUAUUCUUUCCUCAUGGGCACAACCUGGAGGAGCGUUCUUUCUACCCACAGAAAAAAGGCUCGUUCCUGUUUUUGUUGGCUCUCUCGUUCUACCUUUCUCUUCCCAGUGUUGGUACAGACUUAGAUAGAAGAAAUGGUUGACGUUUCUCCUAACACACUUCUAAGAAAGAUAGUGUCCAUGUAAUGAUAAAUGGCGAUUGGUCCUGGUCCACCGUGCGUAUGGCCCUGACUGUGGCACCUGGAGAGCGUGUGUCCCCUGUGGCGGGCAGCCCUUCUCAGCCCUAGAAGAUGUUUAGUCUCCAGGCAAGCAGACAGUUUGACUCCAGAGCCCGGAUUCUCAACUGCUUUGUUAUACUGCCUGGGUUCAAGUGACACCUAGACCACACUUUUAACAUACUUCAUUGUAAUAUAUUCACUUUCAUGGUGAAUGGUGGCAUCUAUGAAUGAAUUAGAAAGAUGUCUUUACUUAUCAGGACUUCUUCAGUUUCCAGUGCCAUAAACCCAACUCAGAUUAUCUUUAAAACACAUCCACAUGUAUGGGGCCACAAGGACACAAUGUCAGACAUAAAUCUAGGGGCCCAAGCGAUAUAACCAGGUCCCCUUUUUCCAUCUCCCAGAUCUUCUUCUGUUGGUAUGUUGACCUCAUCUACCUCCACAGAUGAGAAGACAGCACCCCUGAUGCACAUUCUUCCAGCCCCAUAGCUCUAGAAAUGAGAGCAGGCUUCCACUCUAGGUUAGCUGAGAAGUUCCAGGGAGAGACUUUGGUUGGUUCAUUUUGGGUUCUGUGUCCACCCCUGAACCAAUCGCUUUACCUAGGGUGUUGGAUUACUUUGAUUAGCCAGGCCUGGUUUAUUUGCUUGUUACCAUGAUAGGGGAGAAUGAGCGGCAGAGGAC
rnacentral:lncRNA from 1 species